rnacentral:rRNA from 1 species
UAGGGAAUAUUAGAAAUGGACGAAAGUCUGAUCUAGCAACACCGCGUGUGCGAAGAAGGCCUUCGGGUUGUAAAGCACUUUUUGGAAGGAUUAGGAAGGAAUGUACUUCCAGAAUAAGUCUCGGCUAACUACGUGCCAGCAGCCGCGGUAACACGUAGGAGGCAAACGUUAUCCGGAUUUACUGGGCGUAAAGCGCGUGUAGGUGGUUCUGUAAGUAGGGCGUGAAAGCUCCUGGCUCAACUGGGAGAGGCCGUUCUAAACUGCAGAGCUAGAGGAUGGUAGAGGGAGGUGGAAUUCCAGGUGUAGCGGUGGAAUGCGCAGAUAUCUGGAGGAACACCAGUGGCGAAGGCGGCCUCCUGGACCAUUCCUGACACUCAGACGCGAAAGCUAGGGUAGCAGACG